GGGUCUGCAAUUGAGGGAGUGGUAGGGUGUGUGAGCUCUCCCGUCUGGCCUCCUCCUUCAUUUCACAGGAGGUUUCCAUUCAUUCAUUCAUUCAUUCAUUCAUUCAUUCGUUUAAUUUUAGAGAGGGAGAGAGAGACGGAGAGAGAGAUUCCUAAGCAGGUUCCAUGCCCAGGGCAGAGUCCAAGGCGGGGCCAAAAUCAAGAGCGGGAUGAUGCUUAACCCAUUGAGUCACCCAGGUGUCCUGGAGGUUUCCUUUUAUUAACUUACAAAGGGCCUAGGCUCGAGUGCCCCUCUCCCGGUGGCAGGUCCCCAAGCUAUAGCAAAAGUGGCAGGGAAGUUGAUGCGUUGAGAAAUGCCCCGAUUCCUACUUUGCUUAAUUACAUUAGUUUUGUCUGCAGCUAUCUAUAGGCUUCACUAAGCCAUUUACAGGUCUGUCUGAAAUAGAGAAAAACAUUGCCUAGGGCUCCUUUCUCCAACUGAUUUUUGUUCAAGCCAUCUGAUUGAGUCCACAUCUCCCUCUGGAUCCAUUCCUUGGCUCCCCUUUACAGAAAAAUCCUUCAAAAGACUGGCUAUGCCUUUGGGCUUGAAUUUCUCUCCUCAUAUUCUCUCCUGAACUCUCUGCAGUCAGGCUUCUGCCUUGUCUAUUCCACUAACAUAGAUCUUGUCGAUGUCCCCGAUGUCCCCAAUACCCUCCCUGUGGCUAAAUCUUUAAGUCCUUUCUUGGCUCUUAUCUAAAUUGACCUAUCAACAGCAUUCAACAUGUUUGAGUCCUUGUCACCUCCUUGGAAAACUUUUUUCCCCUACUUGACUUGGAGCAUUCCCCAUUCUUUGAUUUUUGUUCUCCCUCACCAAUCAUUCCUUUCGGUGGGCUUUGCUAAUUUCUCUUCACAUCCCGUUCCUCUAGAUGUUAGGGUGCCCACGGCCCAGAACUUUUGUUUUCCCUGCAUGUCUACACUCGGUCUCUUGGUUAUCUCAUCCGUUCCAGCACUUAAAUACCAUCUGUCUGUUGACCGUUGCCAAAUGUAUCCCUCCUGUCUGUAUUUCUUCUCUAAACCCCAAGUGCAGCUCUCCAAAUGCCUCAACGUCCUCACUGAAGCAUCUCAAAGACAUCUCAAACGUGACGUGUCCCGACAUGCUCCCUAGAGUUAAGCCCAAGCCUAGGAGUCAGUCUUGAUUCCUUUGCCUCACACCACACAUCAAAUGCAACCGCAAAUCCUAUUGGCUCAAAUUUCAAAACAUCCAGUCCCUUGACUCUUCAGCAUCUGCACCACGACCAUCUGAUCCCAGCAUCCUCUGGGGUCAGAUGACGCCACUCUGUGCUCAACACUCUCCAGUGGCUUCCUAUUUCAGAUAAUUUACGAUUUCCAAGGCCAGAAAGGCUCUUAACCCCUCAGCUCCUACUACUUCGCUGAUCUCAUCUCCCAUUAUUCACCCCCUGGCUAAUUCCAUGUCAUGUCCCACUGGUCUCUGUUGUUCCUCAAACCUCCAGGGAUGCUCCUGUUCUAGGUCUGUGUGUUUGGCCCUCUGUCUAGAAUUUUUUUUCACCAUAGAUACAUGUCUCUUUCCCCAUCUUCAAGUCUUUGCUCAAAUAUAACCUCUGCAAUAAAGCCUUUCCUAUUUGAUUCGAAGCUACAGCUCUUUCCACUGUUACCUUGCCCAGCUAUUGCUACCUGAACUUGCUUAGGACACAACCUUACAUAAAGAAGGUGCUUGAUGGGUAUUUGAUGAAAUAAUAAAUCCAUGAUUAUCACA